GCCGUGUCCGAUGGAGACCCGGCUCAGGGGGCUGAGGAGGGCGGCCAGCUCGAUGUGGAAGAUGUCGGUGCGGCCACGGUCAAACACCCCGCCCUCCAGGAAGAUCUUCCCGCUGUUCUUGUUCCCUCUGGCCCCGUACAUGACCAGCCUACGCUCCCCUGUGUGCACAGAGAGACAAGAAAAUUUCAAACAAAAAAGACCAGAGGAGACAGAACCAAGUCCAAGCCUUGAUGGUCCACCCACUGAAAGAUGCUCUUCCGAAGACAACAAGGAGCUGUGCCUGAGAUCUAAGGGCUCCUGGCAUCCCCCAGCUUCGGGCCAGGUGGCAGGGACCCAACUACUUGAACCAUCACUGCUAUUUCCCAAGGUUGACAAUAGCAGGAAGCUGGACUCAGGAGCCAGAGUUGGGAAUCGAACCGGUGCACUCUGAUGCAGAAGGCAGAUGUCUUAACCACUAGACUAAACAUCUGCUCAUCUUUUUUUUUUUUAAGGAAAUAAAAUACAAUAGAUAUAUCCAAGGCCUCACUGUUCAUCUCUUCUCUCCUCCUCCUCCCUUCCCAAAAUAAGUGCCAACCUCAAGGUGGUGUGUGUCAUGCCCAUGAAUGUUUGUACAUGUAUGUAUCCAUAAAGAAAGUACACUAUUUUUGCAUGUUAUAGAAUUUUACAUAAAUAAUAACACAGUGCACAUCUCUGCACUUUUAAGUUCCUCAUAUGUACACUGGAAAUAAUAACUGUGCCUACCACCCAGGGUUCACUGUGCCAUUCACUGAAUUCAUGCCUACACCACCUGGAGCAUGGUAGGCACCAAGGCAUCAUGGCCACAGGGGCUGCUGUUGCUGUUCCUGCUAUCAUUGUCACGUGCCUUUGUGCAGCGGGACUCUUUUCAGUUAACAUUAUGCCUUUGAGAUCAUCCUGGUUCCCCUGGAAUCUUAGCUCAUUCAUCCAACUACUGUCUAACAGCCACUGGAUAAAGCCACUCUUGUCUUCGCUGCCUUCUACUGAUGGCCAUUUCAGUUGUUUCUAAAUUUUUGUUAUUGCCAAUAACACUGCAAUGGACCCAUCUCUUGCUGCACAUUUGUUAGGAACUGCCCUGAGCACACAACUCCAAGUAGAAUUUCUGGGCUCUGAGUAAGCUCAGGCUCUGUUAGGAAGGGUUGCAAAGUUCCCCUCUGAAAUGGCUGUACUACAGUAAUCAGUACCUGCAGUGUGCUAGGGUUCCCAUUCUCCACAUCAUUGUUUUUUUUUUUUUUUAAUUUUUUUUAUUUAUUUAUUUUGACAGGCAGAGUGGACAGUGAGAGAGAGAGACAG